AUGCCGCUCUCCAGCCUGCUCUGGGUGUUCCUGGCCUUCAUCUUCUCUGGAUCCUGUGUGGCCCAGAAAGUUAUUCAAGUCCAACCAGACACAUCCAGCCAAGUCGGGGAGGCAGUCACCCUGAACUGUCGGUAUGAAAUAAGUUGGAACACAGACAACUACUACAUUUAUUGGUAUAAGCAGCUUCCCAGCGGUGAGAUGACUUUCCUUAUUCAACAGUUUUCUUCUGGCCAGAAUGCAAGGAAUGGUCGCUACUCUGUAAACUUCCAGAAAGCAGAUAAAUCCAUCAGCCUCACAAUUUCAGCCUUACAACUGGAAGAUUCUGCAAAGUACUUCUGUGCUCUCUGGGACCUCACAGUGCUUGAAGUAAUAGGAAAAGCUGAACAAAAACCCCAGAGCUCAAUAUGA